AAUGCAUUGUGGGAAAAAGGACCCAAAAAAGGAGGGAAAAGUCAGAGCAAGAGCAGCCAUUAGACUUCUUUCAGGCUUCAUCUGGAUUUUGGACUCUGGAGUUGGAGAAACUGCCUUCAAAUUUCCGUGUGCAGAGCAAUGGCCAAGAAAAGGAAAGACUUCCCUGAGUGAAAAAGAAGAUGAAGAUACAAGCUGGUGAUGAUCCAGAGCAGCUGGUCUCAGGAAAUGAAGAAAAACCCUGAUCACCUUUUCCACAGAAACAAGAAUAAAUUGCGACUAGUCUCAAUGGCUGAGAUGGAGGAGGAACACAGCGACACGUUAACCCGACUGCUGCAGUUCCUGUAUGAACUGAGCAACUCUAAAAAUCCAAGGAAAAAAGAGACAGCCAGGUUCAUAAUGGAUAUAAGGAAGUUUUUUCAAAAACAGAAGCCACAUUCAGUCCAAAGAGAGAGAGAGGAAAGAGGGGAACGUGAGGAGAAAGUACAAGGUCAGGAAGAACCAGAAGCUGUUGUCAUCAGUCACUUUCCUCGUUGUGUUGAUGGUGAGCUGCUCUUUAUGGACCUGAAACAAAGUUAUAACAAACAGCUGUGAAACAGACUGAUGCACAUGUAUGUAAAUUAUAUACGCUGCCCUCUGACAUGCACUACAUUAUGUGUGCAGUUUCAUUAUUCUAGAGAAACCAAUAAAAAUAAUCAAUAAAAGCUGGAU
ensembl:lncRNA